CUCUGGUGAUGUCAUGCCUUAACUCUUCUCUCCCCAGGCAGCCCCACUGUCAGGCUGUCCUGGUGGGAGUGGGCUCUGAGGAGG